ACAAAGUAAGACCGUGAGACCGUGCGGUCUAACAAAUUUCUGAUAAUAUCGUUAACAAAAACUUAACAGUGCGAUCAACCAAUCGCUAACGUUAACAUAUAAUACCAUAGUGCUUUGAAGUCUAGCAAGUACGGUCUAACAAAAUCUUUUAGUACUGAUAACAAAUUUUAAAAAAAUAAACCAAUCGCUGAUCAUUAUUGAUCCUCCUGACAUCAUUGCUAUCUUCGCCAUCUUUGUUACAGAAAAUUAUUUUCAAAGAUCUUAUUUAUUUUUAUAAGUCCAUGAAACAAAACAGAAAUAUCCAGAUGACAUUCAGAUGACAUUCAGAUUGGUCAUAGUAAUCAGCUGGAAAUUAUAUUGAGGGGACUUCGGCUUGUCAACUAAAAUCACCACGGACCUGCUAGAGCACUAGAUUUUUCAUUACAGAAGAAGUUUAAGAACUGAAUCGUUUCUCUAUAGAGAAAAGGUUGAAAAGCAUUUUAAUUUGAGGAUAUUCCAACCUGAAGCAAGUUGUACCAAUGUUAAUGAUGGAAGACCCUGUUAGAAUACUGUGCAUACCUGGGGCUAAAACUUAAUCAAAGAUGACCUAUGCUGAAGUGGUGAGACUUGCUAUGCAUGUAACAGGAGACCAAACUGAGACCACCUUUGAUAUAAAGUGUAUAGAAAUGAAGAAAUCAAUGGGAGCCCCUGUCAAAAGGAGGAGUGUUGUUACAGAAUAUAAGUUCCCAAUGAAACAGGGUAUAGAUGAGUGAUCUAGUGUUUGAGUUCACUGAGGAUGUGGCUGUCAUCCUAACAAACAAAGGUUUACAUAGUAUUUAUCAGGCAACAUUCAGACAGUCAGAUAUUCUACAUUUCGGAUACGGAAUAAAGAAAUUGCUGUUGAGGAAGAGAGGAGUUUCUGUGACGAGAUUGAUACACAUAGAGCAUUUGAGUGUAAUGAAGUUGUGAGUAGUAUUUUAACCAAAAGAACAUCUACCCUAACAACAGUGAAGAUUAAAGGGAUCAGUUGCUGUAUGGUGAUAUUGAAAGAAAUCCAGGACCUACAAUGGUUUAUGAAGACUUCUUAGAGCUUGCCAUAUAAGUGUCAACAAUUUUAAAGAACAGAGAAGACUAUUAUUGCACUUAGUUUUGAGUUUUUGUUUUAUAUUUUAUCACUAUGAUAGACUAAUGUUAAAUUCAGGAAUUGUAUUUUUCUGAUAUAUCUGUUUUGUAAUUACGUUUCACUCAUUUUUAAAUACGUUUGAGACGUUUUUUUUUAUACCUUUUCCUACUUGAGUAGCAUUGACAACUAUUUUAAGUUUUUGGUAAGGUUACUUUCUUUGGGUUUUGUAUUUUAUAAUAUUAAGAUGUCAUACUUGAAUACCUUGUAGUUAUGAACUGUGUAUUUUACUUCUUGAUUCUUUGAUAUGUGUAGUAUUAUUCUCCCCCCCUCCAAUUAUAUUUAGUUUUGUAAAAUAUAUUUUCCAUAAGGCCUGUCAACAAUGGAUGCCUCUCUAGAUAAAGAUUAAAUAAUCUUGGCACACAUUAAAUAUGAAUUUCAAAAGAAAAAAAUAUGUAUGAAGACUCCAUACAAAACUACUUUGGAAAGUAUCACUCCAGUGAUUCCUCUGGUAAAAUUCAGGUAUGCUCUAAAUCUCAGUUUUCAUUGGGAACUUCCUUCAUUGCAUAGAGGAUGCUUUAUCAUCUGUUUUAUUAUACCUAACAAUGCAAGUGUUAAAUGUUGGGAAUACAGAAAGACAGACAUAAUGAUUAUGAUAAGUUAACAAAUAAUUUUACUUCAAAUAUAAUGAAUAUUUAAACUGGAAUUGACUAUUCACAUGUUAUGCUCAUUGAUUGUUGACAUUAUGUGUUGAAAAACAGAAAUAAGUCAAAAGAAUUACAAGACAGAAAGUCCAAAAGUCACAAUUUAUCAAUUGAUAAUAAAUUUGUUUGCUCUAUAAUAGAAUAGAAUGUUUCUAAAAAUGUCGAUUGAAUUAGACUUUCUAUAAAAAAAAAUCUCUCCAAACCACAUUGUGACCUCUUUUUAUAUAUGAUUUAAUUGGUUACAUGUUUGUCUAUUUUGUUAUAUACUUUAAUGUUAUGCAUGAAAAAUAUAUUAACUGUAUGCAAAUUAGGAAAAAU